ensembl:snoRNA
CUCUCCUACAAAGGCAUGUCUAUAGUUCCCUGUCUUUGGACACACAAGAAUUGGAGGAAAAGAAACGUGGACUUGGAGAAAUCUGGGGCCAGCAUGUUCCAUGUAGGCUCAAGAUCAAUAAUGCAACAGAG